UCGUNCUGCUAGUACGCCUCCUUGUGGGGUGGGAACGUGGUGCGGGGUGUCGAGGGCAUGUUGCACGCUGUUGGGUCCUGAGGGACCGGGCCGCACCUUCGGGUGUGUCUGGUUUCUUGUCGGACCCUUUCCGUCGUCCCUGAGUGGAUGGUGGUGGGGUACCGCCCGUAUAUUGAGAACUACACAGUGGACGCGAGCAUCUUAGAUUCACCGGUUUUCCGGUGGAUCACAAAGAUCUAUUUAUAGAUCAUUGGUCAAUUCUGUCUCCUCUAGGGGAGGCGAAACGAUUCAAUCUCAUGUGAUUUCAAGAUUCU
rnacentral:misc_RNA from 1 species